rnacentral:lncRNA from 1 species
ACACUCGUCCUUUGUACCAGUUUCCACAUUUAACUUCAAUAUAUAAAAGGCAUUCGGCUCUUUCAACCGAUCAAUCACUGUGCAUCCCAUCCACUUCGGCUCAUUCAGCCGAAUCCUUUCUACAGUAGGGUUUCUCGAACUCGGCUGAUCCGAUCCUUCAUCAGCUGAAUCGCUUAAUCUUUCGAAGGGCGCAAAUUUCGAGGGUCACCUCGCGAGGCCGGAUUUAAUUCCCGCACG